rnacentral:tRNA from 1 species
AUUUUUUUAGUUUAAACAAAAACAUCAGUUUGUGGUACUGAAGAUGUGAUUGAUCACUUAAAAUA